AGUCGAGCGAGCUUGCCUAGAUGAUUUUAGUGCUUGCACUAAAUGAAACUAUAUACAAGCGAGCGGCGGACGGGUGAGUAACACGUGGGUAACCUGCCCAAGAGACUGGGAUAACACCUGGAAACAGAUGCUAAUACCGGAUAACAACACUAGACGCAUGUCUAGAGUUUGAAAGAUGGUUCUGCUAUCACUCUUGGAUGGACCUGCGGUGCAUUAGCUAGUUGGUAAGGUAACGGCUUACCAAGGCAAUGAUGCAUAGCCGAGUUGAGAGACUGAUCGGCCACAUUGGGACUGAGACACGGCCCAAACUCCUACGGGAGGCAGCAGUAGGGAAUCUUCCACAAUGGACGAAAGUCUGAUGGAGCAACGCCGCGUGAGUGAAGAAGGGUUUCGGCUCGUAAAGCUCUGUUGGUAGUGAAGAAAGAUAGAGGUAGUAACUGGCCUUUAUUUGACGGUAAUUACUUAGAAAGUCACGGCUAACUACGUGCCAGCAGCCGCGGUAAUACGUAGGUGGCAAGCGUUGUCCGGAUUUAUUGGGCGUAAAGCGAGUGCAGGCGGUUCAAUAAGUCUGAUGUGAAAGCCUUCGGCUCAACCGGAGAAUUGCAUCAGAAACUGUUGAACUUGAGUGCAGAAGAGGAGAGUGGAACUCCAUGUGUAGCGGUGGAAUGCGUAGAUAUAUGGAAGAACACCAGUGGCGAAGGCGGCUCUCUGGUCUGCAACUGACGCUGAGGCUCGAAAGCAUGGGUAGCGAACAGGAUUAGAUACCCUGGUAGUCCAUGCCGUAAACG
rnacentral:rRNA from 1 species